rnacentral:lncRNA from 1 species
UUACAAUUAGGUGCUCUCACUGCCGUGGCCUGGGUUUGUUUCCCAGUCAGGGAACCACAUCACCUGUCUGUCAGUUGUCAUACUGACAUACUGUGGCAGCUGGGCAUUGCUGUGAUGCUGAAAGCUUUGCCACCAGUAUUUCAAAUACCAGCAGGGUCACCCAUGGUGGAUAGGUUUCAGUGGAGCUUCCAGACUAAGGCAGACAAGGAAGAAGGACCUGACCGCCCACUUCCAAAAAAAUUGGCCAUGAAAAACUCUCUGAAUAGCAGCAGAGCAUUGUCUGAUAACAGUGCUGGAAGGAGAGAGGAUGCCGCAAAAGACCAGGAGGGAAGAAAGCAGAGAGUCAUCCUAACAGAAUAUUCAGCAACAGCAAGCAAACUUCAGCCAAGAGAAACAUCUUAGAUUCUCCCAAUCUCUCCCUCCUUAUUCUCCACCCCACACCCCACCUUAGCCCCCACCUGCUAUGCUAACAGCAAGAAGACUGCCUGCUGUCUGCAGGCCAGGAAGAGAACUCUCACAAGAACCCAACCAUGCUUGAUCUUGGACUUCCAAGCCUCCAGAACUGUGUGAAAUAAAUGUCUGUUGUUUAAGCCUCCCAGUCUAUAUUGUUUUGUUAUAGCAGCCCAACCUAAGAUAAUUGUAUUCUAUUAAAAUGUAUUCAUUUGGCCAUUUUCUAUUAGGAGUUUGGUUCAAUAGAAGGUAUUUUAUUAACCAACGGCAUGCACUAUAAAAAGCUGGAAAACUAG